GCCCCUAUAGCUUAACGGAUAGAGCACUGGUCUUCGGAAUCAGUGGUGAGGGUUCGAUUCCUUCUAGGGGCG
rnacentral:tRNA from 2 species